UACGUAGGCAGCAAGCGUUGUUCGGAGUUACUGGGCGUAAAGGGCGCGUAGGCGGUCAGCACAAGUCAGUUGUGAAAUCUCCGGGCUUAACUCGGAAAGGUCAACUGAUACUGUGCGACUAGAGUGCAGAAGGGGCAACUGGAAUUCUUGGUGUAGCGGUGAAAUGCGUAGAUAUCAAGAGGAACACCUGCGGCGAAGGCGGGUUGCUGGGCUGACACUGACGCUGAAGCGCGAAAGCCAGGGGAGCGAACGGG
rnacentral:rRNA from 1 species